rnacentral:lncRNA from 12 species
GGUUCACAACCUGUCCUGGGCAGUUCCCACACGUCAGUCAUGAACGAAGUAAUGCAGAAGGAAGUAUAAUUACGUCGUGGUCACUGCAGUGUUCUCUCGGUAGUCAGUGCAAAGUAUGCCACAAACACAUUCUGUGAAUAACGUUCUUGCGGCCAAAAUUCCAUGGAAUGAAAACAUAAUGUUACAUGAAGUAGAAUGACAAAUGCCACUCCAAUCAAUUCCACUCUAGUGCCUGGGGGCUCUAACCCCACAGGGACUUUUGGUUCUGUGUCGCUAUUCUGGAUCCUUCAAACAUGCAACAAGUCACAGAUCCUCUGAAGAUAAGAGACUGCAGGGCAAACUCGUUGAGCCAUGGUAUCAGCAAAUUAUUCCAGAGACAUCUGAAAACUGUAUUAGAAUUUUCAAAACACCCAUAGGGAUCAAAACACCACAUACAAAUUGAACAGGAAGAGAAGCUGACUUUUUAACAUGGUCCCAGGGAGAACGAAAGAGCCCAAGUUUGCUCCUGAAUCUCAGGCCAAGGGCUAGAAUUCUCAAGCCGUGACUACCAAGAGCUUCUGGAGUCUUCCUUCGCAUCAUGCCCCAAAGUGAACAGCCUCCUGACUGGACUACAACCAGAAAAAAGCCUCAGAAAAGACCACUGCUUAUAAUGAACUUCUACACCAAAACCAGCUCAAGGGGAGAGGCUUGUGUUAUCAAGAAGAGAGAUGUUGAAAGGUCUUCUUCUGGAUGCUUAUUUCUACUGCCCCAGGAGGAGAAACUUGCUUCUGAUACAGGGCAAUCCUGUUUUUUUGCAAUUAGAAUUAAGGCAAUUUGAAAUUACAUGAUAUAAAAUAAUAAAGAAAGCCUUCAUGCCCCA